rnacentral:rRNA from 1 species
GAUGAACGCUGGCGGCGUGCCUAAUACAUGCAAGUCGAGCGAACAGACGAGGAGCUUGCUCCUCUGACGUUAGCGGCGGACGGGUGAGUAACACGUGGAUAACCUACCUAUAAGACUGGGAUAACUUCGGGAAACCGGAGCUAAUACCGGAUAAUAUAUUGAACCGCAUGGUUCAAUAGUGAAAGACGGUUUUGCUGUCACUUAUAGAUGGAUCCGCGCCGCAUUAGCUAGUUGGUAAGGUAACGGCUUACCAAGGCGACGAUGCGUAGCCGACCUGAGAGGGUGAUCGGACACACUGGAACUGAGACACGGUCCAGACUCCUACGGGAGGCAGCAGUAGGGAAUCUUCCGCAAUGGGCGAAAGCCUGACGGAGCAACGCCGCGUGAGUGAUGAAGGUCUUCGGAUCGUAAAACUCUGUUAUUAGGGAAGAACAAAUGUGUAAGUAACUAUGCACGUCUUGACGGUACCUAAUCAGAAAGCCACGGCUAACUACGUG